UACGGAGUGUGCAAGCGUUACUCGGAAUCACUGGGCAUAAAGGGCGCGUAGGCGGCCUUUCAAGUGACGGGGUGAAAUCCCUCGGCUUAACCGAGGAACUGCCUGUCAGACUGGAAGGCUUGAGACCGGGAGAGGUGAGUGGAAUUCCCAGUGUAGCGGUGAAAAUGCGUAGAUAUUGGGAGGAACACCAGUGGCGAAGGCGGCUCACUGGACCGGUACUGACGCUGAGGCGCGAAAGCGUGGGGAGCAAACAGG
rnacentral:rRNA from 1 species